rnacentral:rRNA from 1 species
CACGCCGUAAACUUUGAGAACUAGAUAUGGUGAGGCUGGCCCUCUCCGUGUCCCAGCUAACGCGUUAAGUUCUCCGCCUGGGGACUACGGCCGCAAGGCUAAAACUCAAAGGAAUUGACGGGGGCCCGCACAAGCGGUGGAGCAUGUUGCUUAAUUCGAGGCAACGCGAAGAACCUUACCCGGGUUUGACAUGUUUAGGCUCGGCUGUGAAAGCAGCCUUUCCUUCGGGACCUUUACACAGAUGC